AUACAUCUUUGAGUUACUGUCUAGUGUUGUUUACUUACAACCUGAAGGAAGGGACUCCUUUUAACAUUUCUUGCAGGGUAGGUCUAGUGGUAAUGAAUUCCUUCAGCUUUUGUUUAUUUAGGGAUAUCUUAGUUUCUCCCUUGAUUUUGAAGGAUAGUUUUACCAGAUACAGAAUUCUUGGCUGGGCGUGGUGGCUCACACCUGUAAUCCCAGCACUCUGGGAGCCUGAGACAAGCUGAUCACUUGAGCUCAGGAGUUCGAGACCAGCCGGGGCAACAUGGCAAAACUCCAUCUCUAUAAAAAAUAGAAAAAUUAGCUGAAUGUGAUGGCUCAUGCAUGUAGUCCCAGCUGCUCAGGAGGCUGAGGUGGGAGGAUCCCUUGACUACAGGAGGUAGUGUAGUACUGCAGUGGGCUGAAAUCACACCACUGCACUCUAGCCUGGGUGACAGUGAGACCCUGUCUCAAAAAAAAGAAAGAAAGAAAGAAAUCUUGGUUGACAGGUUUUUCUUUCAUCACUUUAAAUAUAUCAUUCUAUUGCCUUCUAACUGCAGAGUUUCUGCUGAGAUUGUCCUAGCAGGGGUAGAGAGAGACUACUAGUAAAGUACUGUACAGUUUUUUGGAAGGCAUUGGUAACACUGUUUAUAAACCAACUCUUCCCCACCUGCCUGUGUACUGUUCCUCUCAGACAGGCAGAAAUUAUUGAAUCAAACUCCAUACUAUCUCUUUCUGUGAUCUUCCCCUAUUGCAGCAGCAGAAGUCCUCUGACGUAAGACUCCCCCUGGAGCAGGUAGAGUGUCGUUUGGAGUGAUGUAGAUGUCUAUUACUUGUAUAUUAAAGGAUUACAGAGAUGUUUGAUAAGUCCAAAGAGGUAGGAUUACCCAGUGUAGUCAUGGGCUAGAAAUGUUGCAAAAAUCCCUGAGCCAAGGUCUCAAGUUGGCUGACUUUGUACUAUUAAGCUACAGACAUGCACUUCAUAUGUUCUUCAGUUUUUCAAUUAGCAAUAAUCACUCCUCGAGUAAACCUCAUUGGCUGUGAUACUGCCACUGCGCAAAGCUUGUUCAUCAGUUUUUGAAGAAAAUGGAGUACGUCACAGGAUUACUUGCGUGCCUUGUUUUAAGCAAGCUCAACAUAUAAAAGUAAUGGUUUCACCAAAACUUGAAGGUUAUUGUUUGGUAAGAGAUUGAGCAGAAGACUUUAAAAACAUUUUUGUUACUUUAAAGAAGGACUCGAAUUACAGAGUUUGAAGAAGCAACUAGUAAAAACACCACUCACUUUAGAAGAAGAGGGUUUAGGUCUGUUCUCCCAAAGACUGGUUCUUUAAAAAACCCAGGGUCCUGGGCCCAAAGGUUCUGUGGCAUAACUGCUUAAAAAUGCGAGAGGAGAGAUUCAGGGUGUGUCAGUACCAAGGACAGACAGCUAGAUAUCCUUUGGUUCCACUUGACCUGGUAGCAGUGGGCGAGGCUUUAGGGAAAACACUUUGUAAAUUUUAUUAUGAUGGCAUGUAAACGCACAGGAUUGGCAAUAAAGUGGCCUGGAGUUUGGUCUCCAGUAUGAGAGGAUCUCUUUUGGGCAAAGGAUGAUAUUGCCACACAGUCAGGAGAGGGGAUGAGCCUGGUCUUUGAGUUUGCAGGGGGAGUGAUUUAUUUGUAAUUCUUUAUUUUAUGAUUUUUGUGCAAGAAGUUAAGUAUUUUGGCUAGAGAUAGCAUGGAAAUAGAGUGAGUUCCCCAGACCAGUUCUAUGUAAGACCAGCAGAGAAGGUUAGGUCAGUGAGCACUGGUGUUUCGAAGGCCUCUCCUGGAAGUCAAUCAAUGUAGUCAUGAGUAGCAAUUCCAAGCUGGCCUCUACUAAAAACCAGAUCAGGGAAAAAAUAGGGCCCAGGUCAAAGAGACUGUGAGCUCCCUGGGGCAGGGACCAGGUCUGUCUGAUUGUCUCUAUUUGGCUUGUUGAACUGAACUAACAUAUAGCACUUGUCAUUUGACACCGAUUAUAAUUCUGUGAGAUGAUAUUUGCAUCUUAGAUGAGGAAAAUGGCCCAUAGAGACCAAGAUGCCUCCCAUCUACAGAGUGGCUGAGUCAAUUCAAGCUCAGGUCUUCUGAUUCCAGAUCCUGUGUGCCUUCCUGAUCACCAUAUCAGCUAGAUCUUUUCUAUGUAGAGUAUGCAAUAGCUUUUAUUCAGACUUUUCAUUCCUUGGCUUUUAUUUUCUGAUCUUUCCUAAUUAUUGCUAUUUUGUUUUUAUCGAGGAAAUCAGAGAGAAAGCUAUGAGACAGUUAAAGCCUAUUAAGGGUUUAUUGAGAAUAUAAUGAUGUUCAAUAUGAAAUAAAAAUCAAAUACACUAGAAUUGCAGCAUAAUCAUACCUUAGAGUUACUAUAAGAUUAAGUUGGAAUCGAAUUGAUCUUAUAGUAAUGAAUUUUCUUUUUUAAAGCUUUUUAGAGCAAAACCUAAUCAAUCCCAUAGCAUAAGGGACAAAACCUAUGUCAAUCCCAUAACAUAAGUGGCAUAUAAGGAAUAUCCUGUGCAUUUCUCUACAGAAAAGGAAAGGAAGCAGAACUGACUUUGUGCCUACCAGGUGUUGGGCCCAAGUUGUUGGGUCUUACUAUGACCUUUACAAGUAUUACCCUCAAGUUUUCCAACAAGUGGUCAUCAUUACCUUUCUAUAAGUGGGAAAAAUAGAUUUAAAGUAAAUGGCUACCCAGAGUCACACAGUAAAUAGCAAGCAAUCCAUGGAUCUAAACUGAAUUAUUUCUGCCUCCAGUGCUCUCAGUUAUGCUGUGGUGUUUUCUGGAUGAAAUACUAGGAUUUAAAUAUAUGCUUGGAGUUUUUGUGUCAAACCUUAAGUUGCUCUUGUAUUUUGUUAAACUUGUAUCAUCUGAAAUGAACACCUGUAUCCAUUCUCUUUCAGGUUUUGCUGUUACUGCUCAAUGUAGUCACACCUUGAAUAAGAAAUGGAAAACCUUGGGAUGUUGAUAAAGCUAAUAUCCUGAGGAAGAACUUCAGUAGGUCCCAGCUGAGCAGGAGAUGGGAUUCAACAGUACUGGUCUAAUGUGCUGGAGUGGCCCAGGCAGAGGCCCACUUGCAGAGACUAAUGGGAGCCUCAAGAGAAAAUCUACCAUAAGAAAAGGACCAGUCUGACAGCAAGCCCAGCUUCCCAAGAAGAUAGAAGGUUGGAGGCAAGCUGCUGUCCAGGUAUGUCCCGAACCAGCCAACUUGAAGGUAAGUUUGCUCCCUGGGGAGAGAAGGGCUCUAGGUAUGAAUUAAAAGCUGUGUCCAUAGACACUGUAACACUGGAGUUCAAAAAAUGUUGCUGUGGAACGGCCCUUCUCAUCCAAACCCAGACGGAAUGUUCUCACCUGCCAAGAGUAGUGUCUUGUAUUGAGGCACAGUGGUAGCUUUCUGGAUCCACAGGCAAGGCCCUGUGGAGUCUCAGAAUAAUGAUAAAUCCUCUGGAUGACCUAGGGGCUGGUGAGGUGAGUGGAGUGCCCUGCUGUGGUGUGUCUGUAGGACCAUUGGAGCCUGAUGCUGCCAAAGCAUGACCUGACCAGCCCUGGCAACUGGUUUAGGAUCAUACAACCAUGCACAUGCCCCUAGGAUUCCUAGAAAUACUAAGGGGAAGAGGAUUUUCCCGGAGCUGGGACAUUCUACAUUUGCACAGGUGAGAACUCAAACCAUUGAGAUUUAGAUAUUAAUGUAAAACAACUUCAUUUGUACUCAUUAAGACUGAGUAAGGCUAGGACUUUUCCUUUCUGCUGCAUUUUAACAUAGGUAGGAGGACAGGAUUUUCAAGAUGCCCAAGAAAGUAAUCAAGCAAUAAUCAUGUGCAUCUUCAUGAAGGAAUGGUAGAGCCCCACAUGACCCACGAUCUGCACCCCACAGGACUCCCGCCCCACUGCUUCUCUGCCCUCAUCUCGUAGCACUCCAGCCCAGGCCCCCGCUGGCUGGCCUCCCAUGCAGCACACUCUCCCCUCAGGGCCUUUACACUUGGCUUCUCCCUUGAUCUGGGUUGUGCUCUUCCCUAUCUUCCCACCCUCUAAUGUCCAUGCACCUUCUUCCUCACUUUCUUCAGCUCUCUGUUCAGACGUCACCUUUUCUGUGAGGCCUUGCCUGACCUAACGUAAACAGCAACAAAGUCAGUCUCAGUGGCUCACGCCUGUUAUUCCAGCACUUUGGGAGGCCAAGGCAGGCAGAUCACCUGAGGUCAGGAGUUCGAGACCAGCCUGGCCAACGUGGCGAAACCCCGUCUCUACUAAAAAUACAAAAAAAAUUAGCCGGGUAUGGUGGCGGGCGCCUGUAAUCCCAGCUACUUGGGAGGCUGAGGCGGGAGAAUCACUCGAACCUGAGAGGUGAAGGUUGGAGUGAGCUGAGAUCGCGCCAUAGCACUCCAGCCUGGGUGACAGAGUCAGACUCCAUUUUGAAAAAAAUAAAAUAAAAAAAGAGCAACAACUGCUUCUUGCCUUGUUACCCCUAAUCUGCUUUAUUUUUUCCCAAAGCACUUUGCAUUAUCUAGUAUACUAUACAUGUAGUUGUUUAUUGAGUGUAUCCUCCUCAUUAGAAUGGGAGUUACAUGAGGGCAAGAACUCCCUCUGUUUAUUCACAGAUGUAUCCCCAGCAGCCAGCACAUUGUCUGUCACACAGUACAUGUUCAAUACAUUUCAUUAAUGAAUGAUCAUACUUCCUCCCUUUUUUGUUAAUUAACUAAUUCAGUGAACACUGAGCUCUACUAAGUGAUGGACACUACUGAAUAGCAGAGAACUAAAGAUGAACAAGAUAGCCUCUGCCCUUAAAGAGGUCACAGUGUGAGGAGGGAGGCAGAAUGUUGCCUCCUGACUAUAAAUGCAGUGUGGUAGAUUUCACUGGGGACACAGCUGGAGGAGAUUGGGGAAAGCUUUGUGGAGGAGUUGCUGUCGAGUUGACUCAUGAAGGUGAGGAAAAUUAUGAUGUGUGAACAUUUGUUGAGUGCUUACCAUCUCUCUGCUAAGCAACUUAAAUAUAGCAUUAUUUAACGCCGCGAACAGGUGUAUAACAUAAGUACUGAUAUUAUUUUUACCUUAGGGUUGAAGAAGCAGGCUCAGAAAAGACCAAGAUUUGGAGCUACCACUGGUGGAGCUAAGGUUCAGACCUGGUUCUUCCUGGUUUCACAUCUCAUGCUUUAACCAUGUGCUGGGCAGACAAGAAAGGAAGACACUGUGAGCAGAAGAAAUAAUCCAUCUCAAAAAUGGAAACUUCAUGGUGUGUAUUCGGGGAACCCCAGGAAUUCCAGGGAAGAGAUGAGGCAGGAGUCUACCUCACCUAGAAGAACUCGCACACAAAGCAGCAUGAGACAGAAGCUUUUGAAGGGGAGUGGAAUGGCUUUUACCGGCACUGCAGUUUUCUUCUUGCACCAGUGUUAGUAUUUUAUAUUUGUUCAGGAAUGUGUGUAUUUCACCUAGGCUUUCAAAUGUAUUAGCUUAUAGUAAAAUCAUUGCUACGCCCCGUCACUCUUUCUAAUCUGCAUUUUUCAUAGAUCUGCCUCUCUGCUUUUGAUGUUAUUUCUUGUGUUCAUGUCAUCAUUUGCACCUCUCUUACACUCAUUUCUGCGUCCUUAUCUUUAUAUUUCCCUC